CAGAGGGUGCAAGCGUUAAUCGGAAUUACUGGGCGUAAAGCGUGCGUAGACGGUUAUUUAAGUCAGGUGUGAAAGCCCCGGGCUCAACCUGGGAAUUGCACUUGAGACUGAAUAGCUAGGGUGCGGAAGAGGGAAGCGGAAUUUCCGGUGUAGCGGUGAAAUGCGUAGAUAUCGGAAGGAACACCAGUGGCGAAAGCGGCUUCCUGGUCCAGCACCGACGUUCAGGCACGAAAGCGUGGGGAGCAAACAGGAUUAGAUACCCUGGUAGUCCACGCCAUAAACGAUGAGAACUAGACGUUGAGAGGGUAAGCCUCCCAGUGUCGCAGCUAACGCGAUAAGUUCUCCGCCUGGGGAGUACGGCCGCAAGGUUG
rnacentral:rRNA from 1 species